rnacentral:rRNA from 1 species
GACGAACGCUGGCGGCGUGCUUAACACAUGCAAGUCGAACGAUGAAGAAAAGAAUCGAAGCUUCGGCAGAAAUUCAUUUCGGAUUAGUGGCAGACGGGUGAGUAACGCGUGAGCAACCUACCUCUUACAAAGGGAUAGCCUCGGGAAACCGGGAUUAAUACCAUAUAACAUUGCGACGAAGCAUUUCGAUGCAAUCAAAGCUACGGCGGUAAGAGAUGGGCUCGCGUCCCAUUAACCGGAUGGUGAGGUAACGGCUCACCAUAGUGACGAUGGGUAACCGGCCUGAGAGGGUGAACGGUCACACUGGAACUGAGACACGGUCCAGACUCCUACGGGAGGCAGCAGUGGGGAAUAUUGCACAAUGGAGGGAACUCUGAUGCAGCGACGCCGCGUGAGUGAUGAAGGAAUUCGUUUCGUAAAACUCUGUUCUAUGGGAAGAAAAGGACUGUACCAUAGGAGAAAGCUCCGGCUAAAUACG